CUGCAUUCUUUGAGUUUCUGAUUAGCCUUCCCAAAGGAGGCAAUCAGAAUAUGCAUCUUUCUCAGUGAGCAGAGAGAUGACUUUGAAUAGAAUGGGAGACAGGUUUGUCCUGAGCAGUUCCCAACUUGACUUUUCCCUUAGCUUAGUAAUUUUUGGGCCCCUAGGUUUUCCUUUCACACUGACUUGAAGAUGGAAGAACCCAAUGAGAAGGAGUGUGGAUAGCCUUAAAAUGCUGAGAGGCCCCCAGCUGAUGGCCAGCAAGGAAACAGACAGCUCACCUCAGUCUCACAGCUGCAUGAAACCAAAUUCUGCCAACAACAGAAAUGUGCUUGGGAGACAACCCUGAACUCCAGGUGGAAAUACAUUCAGCUGACACCUUGACUUUGGCCCUGGGAGAUUCUAACAGAAAACCCAGCCCCUGCAAUGCUAGACUAUAGAACUGAAAGCUAAUAAAUGGAAUUUCUUGUACCAUGUUCUAGUAAGCCAGGGUGUGAGAAAGAAGGUAACAUCCCCUUUUAUCCCAAGCUUGACAUCCUUAUAUGUCCGGAAUUGGUGGGUUCUUGGUCUCACUGACUUCAAGAAUAAAGCCGCUGACCCUUGCUGUGAGGGUUACAGUUCUUAAAGGCGGCGUGUCCGGAAUUUGUUCCUUCUGAUGUUCGGAUGUGUUCGCAGUUUCUUCCUUCUGGUGGGUUCAUGGUCUUGCUGACUCAGGAGCAAAGCUGCAGACCUUCCUGAUAAGUGUUACAACUCUUAAGGUGGCGCGUCUGGAGUUGUUCGUUCCUCCCGGUGGGUUGGUGGUCUCCAUGGCUUUAGCAGUGAAGCUGCAGACCUCCGCGGUGAGUGUUACAGCUCAUAAAAAAUGACCCAAAAAGUGAGCAGCAGCAAGAUUUAUUGCAAAGAGUGAAAGAAUAAACCUUCCACAGUGUUGAAGGGGGCCCCAGCAGGUUGCCACUGCUGGCUGGCGCAGCCUGCUUUUAUUCUCUUAUCUGGCCCCACCCACAUCCUGCUGAUUGGUCCAUUUUACAGAGAGCUGAUUGGUCUGUUUUACAGAGAGCUGAUUGGUCGUUUUGACAGGGUGCUGAUUGGUGCAUUUACAAUCCCUGAGCUAGACACAAAAGUUCUCCAGGUCACCACUAGAUUAGCUAGAUACAGAGUGCUGAUUGGUGUAUUCACAAUCCCUUAGCUAGACAUAAAGGUUCUCCAAGUCCCCACUAGAUCAGCUAGACACAGAGCACAGAUUGGUGCAUUUACAAACCUUGAGCUAGACACAGAGUGCUGAUUGGUGCAUUUACAAAUCUUGAGCUAGAUACAGAGUGCCCAUUGGUGUAUUCACAAUCCCUUAGCUAGACAUAAAGAUUCUCCAAGUCCCCACCAGAUUAGCUAGAUACAGAGUGCGGAUUGGUGCAUCCACAAACCCUGAGCUAGACACAGGGUGCUAAUUGGUGUGUUUACAAACCUUGAGCUAGAUACAGAGUGCUGAUUGGUGUAUUUACAAUCUCUUAGCUAGACAUAAAGGUUCUCCAAGUCCCCACUAAACUCAGGAGCCCAGCCGGCUUCACCCAGUGGAUCCCGCACUGGGGCGCAGGUGGAGCUGCCUGCCAGUCCUCCUGUGUGCCUGCACUC
rnacentral:lncRNA from 1 species